AAUGCUGUGGGCCUUGUGCCAGGACUGCCAGCCUGUCAGGCGAUGUCCCAGCCUGGUGACCACAGAUGGGAGAUUAGGCGGACCCUCAACCACCCAGCAGGCCUACCUGGAGUCCUUCUACAAGUUCUGCACUCUAUUGGGCGGGACUACGGCCGAUGCCAUGUGCCCCAUCCUGGAGUUUGAAGCAGACCGCCGCGCCUUCAUCAUCACCAUCAAUUCUUUCGGCACAGAGCUGUCCAAAGAGGACCGUGCCAAGCUCUUUCCACACUGUGGGCGGCUCUACCCUGAGGGCCUGGCGCAGCUGGCUCGGGCUGACGACUAUGAGCAGGUCAAGAACGUGGCCGAUUACUACCCGGAGUACAAACUUCUCUUCGAGGGUGCAGGUAGCAACCCUGGAGACAAGACGCUGGAGGACCGAUUCUUUGAGCACGAGGUAAAGCUGAACAAGUUGGCCUUCCUGAACCAGUUCCACUUUGGUGUCUUCUAUGCCUUUGUGAAGCUCAAGGAACAGGAGUGUCGCAACAUCGUGUGGAUCGCUGAAUGCAUCGCCCAGCGCCACCGCGCCAAAAUCGACAACUACAU
rnacentral:sRNA from 1 species